rnacentral:lncRNA from 1 species
AUUGGCCUUAUCAUUGAAGACCAUACGAUGCCUUUUAUCAAUCCUAUCAUUGAAGACCAUACGACAACCUUUGAUCGGCCCUAUCAUUGAAGAUAGAGAUGGCCUUAGACCGGCCAAAGAAAAAAGAAAUUGACAAGCAUCCACAAUGCACAAAGACAUGGAGAGAACCAAAAUGAUAUUUUCAUUUAUAAUAUUUACAAAAAAGAUGAUGCCCACAGCACCACUUUUCAAAAAAGAAAAAA